rnacentral:rRNA from 1 species
GACGAACGCUGGCGGCGUGCCUAAUACAUGCAAGUAGAACGCUGAAGAGAGGAGCUUACUCUUCUUGGAUGAGUUGCGAACGGGUGAGUAACGCGUAGGUAACCUGCCUUGUAGCGGGGGAUAACUAUUGGAAACGAUAGCUAAUACCGCAUAACAAUGGAUGACACAUGUCAUUUAUUUGAAAGGGGCAAUUGCUCCACUACAAGAUGGACCUGCGUUGUAUUAGCUAGUAGGUGAGGUAAUGGCUCACCUAGGCGACGAUACAUAGCCGACCUGAGAGGGUGGUCGGCCAAACUGGGACUGAGACACGGCCCAGACUUCUAAGGGAGGCAGCAGUAGGGAAUCUUCGGAAAUGGGGGCAACCCUGACCGAGCAACGCCGCGGGAGUGAAGAAGGUUGUCGGAUCGUAAAGCUCUGUUGUAAGUCAAGAAAGGGUGUGAGAGUGGAAAGUUCACACUGUGACGGUAGCUGAACAGAAAGGGACGGCUAACUACGUG